GCCCAACUCCCCAAACCACUCAGGGUCCUGUGGACAGCUCACCUAGCUGCAAUGGCUGCAGGCUCCCAGACGUCCCUGCUCCUGGCUUUUGCCCUGCUCUGUCUGCCCUGGCUUCAAGAGGCUGGUGCCGUCCAAACCGUUCCCUUAUCCAGGCUUUUUGACCAUGCUAUGCUCCAAGCCCAUCGCGCCCACCAGCUGGCCAUUGACACCUACCAGGAGUUUGUAAGCUCUUGGGGAAUGGGUGCAGCUCAGAGGGGGCAGGAAGGGGUGACUUUCCCCCACUGGGGAAGUAAUGGGAGGAGACUAAGGAGCUCAGGGUUGUUUUCUGAAGCAAAAAUGCAGGCAGAUGAGCAUAGGCUGAGCCAGGUUCCCAGAAAAGUAACAAUGGGAGCUGGUCUCCAGCAUAGAAACGAGCGGUCCUUCUUGGGGGGGGGGGGGUCCUUCUCCUAGGAAGACGCCUAUAUCUCAAAGGACCAGAAGUAUUCAUUCCUGCAUGGCUCCCAGACCUCCUUCUGCUUCUCAGACUCUAUUCCGACACCCUCCAACAUGGAGGAAACGCAGCAGAAAUCGGUGAGUGGAUGCCGUCUCCCCAGGUGGGGAUGGGGGAGACCUGUGGUCAGAGCCCCCGGGCAGCACAGCCACUGCUGGUCCUUCCCCUGUAGAACUCAGAGCUGCUCCGCCUCUCCCUGCUGCUCAUCGAGUCGUGGCUAGAGCCCGUGCGGCUCCUCAGGAGUAUCUUCACCAACAACCUGGUGUAUGACACCUCGGACAGCAAUGACUAUCACCUCCUAAAGGACCUAGAGGAAGGAAUCCAAACGCUGAUGGGGAGGCUGGAAGACGGCAGCCCCCGGACUGGGCAGAUCCUCAAGCAGACCUACAGCAAGUUUGACACAAACUCGCACAACCAUGACGCACUGCUCAAGAACUACGGGCUGCUCUACUGCUUCAGGAAGGACAUGGACAAGGUCGAGACAUUCCUGCGCAUCGUGCAGUGCCGCUCUGUGGAGGGCAGCUGUGGCUUCUAGGUGCCCGUGUGGCAUCCUGUGACCCCUCCCCAGUGCCUCUCCUGGCCCCGGAAGGUGCCA
rnacentral:sRNA from 1 species